GAGAGUUUGAUCCUGGCUCAGAUUGAACGCUAGCGGGAUGCCUUACACAUGCAAGUCGAACGGCAGCACGGACUUCGGUCUGGUGGCGAGUGGCGAACGGGUGAGUAAUGUAUCGGAACGUGCCUAGUAGCGGGGGAUAACUACGCGAAAGCGUAGCUAAUACCGCAUACGCCCUACGGGGGAAAGCAGGGGAUCGCAAGACCUUGCACUAUUAGAGCGGCCGAUAUCGGAUUAGCUAGUUGGUGGGGUAACGGCUCACCAAGGCGACGAUCCGUAGCUGGUUUGAGAGGACGACCAGCCACACUGGGACUGAGACACGGCCCAGACUCCUACGGGAGGCAGCAGUGGGGAAUUUUGGACAAUGGGGGAAACCCUGAUCCAGCCAUCCCGCGUGUGCGAUGAAGGCCUUCGGGUUGUAAAGCACUUUUGGCAGGAAAGAAACGUCAUGGGCUAAUACCCCGUGAAACUGACGGUACCUGCAGAAUAAGCACCGGCUAACUACGUGCCAGCAGCCGCGGUAAUACGUAGGGUGCAAGCGUUAAUCGGAAUUACUGGGCGUAAAGCGUGCGCAGGCGGUUCGGAAAGAAAGAUGUGAAAUCCCAGAGCUUAACUUUGGAACUGCAUUUUUAACUACCGAGCUAGAGUGUGUCAGAGGGAGGUGGAAUUCCGCGUGUAGCAGUGAAAUGCGUAGAUAUGCGGAGGAACACCGAUGGCGAAGGCAGCCUCCUGGGAUAACACUGACGCUCAUGCACGAAAGCGUGGGGAGCAAACAGGAUUAGAUACCCUGGUAGUCCACGCCCUAAACGAUGUCAACUAGCUGUUGGGGCCUUCGGGCCUUGGUAGCGCAGCUAACGCGUGAAGUUGACCGCCUGGGGAGUACGGUCGCAAGAUUAAAACUCAAAGGAAUUGACGGGGACCCGCACAAGCGGUGGAUGAUGUGGAUUAAUUCGAUGCAACGCGAAAAACCUUACCUACCCUUGACAUGUCUGGAAUUCCGAAGAGAUUUGGAAGUGCUCGCAAGAGAACCGGAACACAGGUGCUGCAUGGCUGUCGUCAGCUCGUGUCGUGACAUGUUGGGUUAAGUCCCGCAACGAGCGCAACCCUUGUCAUUAGUUGCUACGAAAGGGCACUCUAAUGAGACUGCCGGUGACAAACCGGAGGAAGGUGGGGAUGACGUCAAGUCCUCAUGGCCCUUAUGGGUAGGGCUUCACACGUCAUACAAUGGUCGGGACAGAGGGUCGCCAUCCCGCGAGGGGGAGCCAAUCCCAGAAACCCGAUCGUAGUCCGGAUCGCAGUCUGCAACUCGACUGCGUGAAGUCGGAAUCGCUAGUAAUCGCGGAUCAGCAUGUCGCGGUGAAUACGUUCCCGGGUCUUGUACACACCGCCCGUCACACCAUGGGAGUGGGUUUUACCAGAAGUAGUUAGCCUAACCGUAAGGGGGGCGAUUACCACGGUAGGAUUCAUGACUGGGGUGAAGUCGUAACAAGGUAGCCGUAG
rnacentral:rRNA from 1 species